UGAGGAAUAUUGGGUCAAUGGACGCAAGUCUGAACCAGCCAAGUAGCGUGCAGGAUGACGGCCCUAUGGGUUGUAAACUGCUUUUAUGCGGGGAUAAAGUGAGGGACGUGUCCCUUUUUGUAGGUACCGCAUGAAUAAGGACCGGCUAAUUCCGUGCCAGCAGCCGCGGUAAUACGGAAGGUCCGGGCGUUAUCCAGAUUUAUUGGGUUUAAAGGGUGCGCAGGCGGCGCGCCAAGUCAGCGGUCAAAGUUCCGGGCUCAACCCGGUGUCGCCGUUGAAACUGGCGUGCUCGAGUGCGUGCGAGGAAGGCGGAAUGCGUUGUGUAGCGGUGAAAUGCAUAGAUAUGACGCAGAACUCCGAUUGCGAAGGCAGCUUUCCAGCGCGCUACUGACGCUGAGGCACGAAAGCGUGGGGAUCGAACAGGAUUAGAUACCCUGGUAGU
rnacentral:rRNA from 1 species